rnacentral:rRNA from 1 species
CUAUCAGAUGAGCCUUAGGUCGGAUUAGCUAGUUGGUGAGGUAAUGGCUCACCAAGGCUACGAUCCGUAACUGGUCUGAGAGGAUGAUCAGUCACACUGGAACUUGAGACACGGUCCAGACUCCUACGGGAGGCAGCAGUGGGGAAUAUUGGACAAUGGGCGGAAAGCCUUGAUCCAAGCCAUGCCGCGUGUGUGAAGAAGGUCUUCGGAUUGUAAAGCACUUUAAGUUGGGAGGAAGGGUACUUACCUAAUACGUGAGUAUUUUGACGUUACCGACAGAAUAAGCACCGGCUAACUCUGUGCCAGCAGCCGCGGUAAUACAGAGGGUGCAAGCGUUAAUCGGAAUUACUGGGCGUAAAGCGCGCGUAGGUGGUUUGUUAAGUUGGAUGUGAAAGCCCCGGGCUCAACCUGGGAACUGCAUCCAAAACUGGCAAGCUAGAGUAUGGUAGAGGGUGGUGGAAUUUCCUGUGUAGCGGUGAAAUGCGUAGAUAUAGGAAGGAACACCAGUGCGAAGCGACCACCUGGACUGAUACUACACUGAGGUCGAAA